GACGAACGCUGGCGGCGUGCUUAACACAUGCAAGUCGAACGGGUCUGCCCUGUUUUUUGCGGGGUGGGUCAGUGGCGAACGGGUGAGUAACACGUGAGUAACCUGCCCCUCACUUCUGGAUAACCGCUUGAAAGGGUGGCUAAUACGGGGUGUUCUGGCUGUGCCGCAUGGUGUGGCUGGGAAAGAUUCACUUUUGUGGUGUUUUGGUGGGGGAUGGGCUCGCGGCCUAUCAGCUUGUUGGUGGGGUGAUGGCCUGCCAAGGCUUUGACGGGUAGCCGGCCUGGGAGGGUGGGCGGUCAGACUGGGACUGAGAUAAGGCGCAGACUCCUGCGGGAGGCAGCAGUGGGGGGUAUUGCACAAUGGGCGGGAGCCUGAUGCAGCGACGUCGCGUGAGGGAUGGAGGCCUUCGGGUUGUGAACCUCUUUCGCCGGUGAAGAAGGUCCUGCUCUUUGUGGUGGGGUUGACGGUAGCCGGGUUAUGAAGCGCCGGCUAACUACGUG
rnacentral:rRNA from 1 species